UCGGGCGGCACGCCGAAUCCUGCCCCCGCCCCGAUGUGUUUUGAACCCAGUGGCAGGAACGGGGGAACCGACUCCGGACGCCGUACCCAGAGAUCCUGGAAGAAUCGGGCAUCCGCCCGCGCGGCCACAUGAGUGCCGCGCCUGGGCCUAACCCACCAGGGCGUCCUAGGGGUGAAGCCGACUGACUUCCGCGGUCGUCGCGGGCGCGUUCCAUGCGCUUUCGAGGACACAAAAGGACACGUCAUUCGGCCGGGCAAUUCUCUUCCCAGCCCGAACCCGACAGCUCACCUCGCAGGCGUGGGGAAAGGGCUA
rnacentral:sRNA from 2 species